rnacentral:rRNA from 1 species
UACGAAGGGAGCUAGCGUUGUUCGGAAUCACUGGGCGUAAAGCGCACGUAGGCGGAUGUGUCAGUCAGGGGUGAAAUCCCGGAGCUCAACUUCGGAACUGCCUCUGAUACAGCACGUCUUGAGUCCGGAAGAGGUGGGUGGAAUUCCUAGUGUAGAGGUGAAAUUCGUAGAUAUUAAGAAGAACACCGGUGGCGAAGGCGGCCCACUGGUCCGGUACUGACGCUGAGGUGCGAAAGCGUGGGGAGCAAACAGG